rnacentral:rRNA from 1 species
CAGCAGCCGCGGUAAUACAGAGGGUGCGAGCGUUAAUCGGAUUUACUGGGCGUAAAGCGUGCGUAGGCGGCUUUUUAAGUCGGAUGUGAAAUCCCUGAGCUUAACUUAGGAAUUGCAUUCGAUACUGGGAAGCUAGAGUAUGGGAGAGGAUGGUAGAAUUCCAUGUGUAGCGGUGAAAUGCGUAGAGAUCUGGAGGAAUACCGAUGGCGAAGGCAGCCAUCUGGCCUAAUACUGACGCUGAGGUACGAAAGCAUGGGGAGCAAACAGGAUUAGAUACCCGUGUAGUCCCUGUCUCUUAUAC